rnacentral:rRNA from 1 species
GACGAACGCUGGCGGCGUGCCUAACACAUGCAAGUCGAGCGAAUGAAGUUCCUUCGGGAAUGGAUUUAGCGGCGGACGGGUGAGUAACACGUGGGCAACCUGCCUCAUAGAGGGGAAUAGCCUUCCGAAAGGGAGAUUAAUACCGCAUAAGAUUGUAGUAUCGCAUGAUACAGCAAUUAAAGGAGCAAUCCGCUAUGAGAUGGGCCCGCGGCGCAUUAGCUAGUUGGUGAGGUAACGGCUCACCAAGGCGACGAUGCGUAGCCGACCUGAGAGGGUGAUCGGCCACAUUGGGACUGAGACACGGCCCCGACUCCCACGGGAGGCAGCAGUGGGGAAUAUUGGACAAUGGGGGAAACCCUGAUGCAGCAACGCCGCGUGAGUGAUGACGGCCUUCGGGUUGUAAAGCUCUGUCUUCAGGGACGAUAAUGACGGUACCUGAGGAGGAAGCCACGGCUAACUACGUG